AAAAAUUAAAAAUGUAUUUGAAACUGAUUUUGAUGAAUUUCGGUGUUAAAAUGGCUUAAAAUGAAUUUUUAAGCGUUUUUAGCGUUUUUGAGUUUUCCGGCCAAAACCACCGGAAUACGGUGACCGGAGUUUGAGUAGAGGGGAUAGAGCAUGGUGGCUCAGUCCUAAACUCAUUUGGCAGCAGUUAGUGCCGAAAUGUUUUUGGCAGAAAAUAAGGGGGGGCCGAGCCCCGGGUCAAAAAUAUUUUACGGAAAAAUAUUUUUGGAUAUUUUUGAAUUGUGAUAUGUUUGUUGAUAUUUUCUAAAAGUGUAUUUUUAGAAAAUUAUGUGAAUUGAAUGUGUGUUAGAAUUAUAUGGAGUUAUAAUUCUAUGUUUAUUUAUUGAAAUAAAUAAACUACGUGGUGUAUCGUAUAGAAAUACGAUGACGCGGAAAUAGAUAGUCGGAAUCAAAUUUGGUUUGUGAUUAUGUGGUUAUAUGGUUGAGUCGGUCUAGAGUAUAUCCUAGAAUUUAGAGUUAUUACAUUUAUUAAUGUUUAAUCUCUAAAUUAGAUCCAGCGAGUUUUGUCGCGGAAACCGGCGAGCAAAGGUUUUGAAUAUUCGACGGGUGAUAUUUUUUAAUAUUUGGAAUAAGCGAGUACUGCGAGUAGUUUGACGUGUGGAUUUCCAAUUUCUUGUUCCGGAAAUCCCUAGCUUGAAUAAGUGAGAAUGACUUUCCUUUAUGUGUCUAGAGUUGCAGUAGCUAGAGUAAUGAACGGUGAUACCUUAGUAGUCGUUGGACUUAUUUAUGCUUUAUAUUUUAUAACGCUUAAACUCUGAUAUAAUAUGUAAUAUGUGAAUGCUGUGCGUAAGUCCGAGCGACUGCACUUGAAUAAAAUGCGAUGAACGCAUCUGCAUAGUGAAAUGCAGUUAAAUCCAUAAUGAAAUGGUCUGCAUAAUGAAAUGCGGUUAAGUCCAUUAGAGAAAUGGCCUGCAUAGUGAAAUGCAGUAAUUACCAUAGUAAGAUGGUAUGCAUAAUGAGAUGCAUGAUAAACCAUAGAGAAAUGGUUUUGAAACUAAAAUGCAAUAAUUAAAGAGAAAAAUUAUGUGCAUGUUUUAAAUGGUAA